rnacentral:rRNA from 1 species
AUGAAAAUCUUAAGCUGGAACUGUCGAGGCUUGGGUCAACCUCGUACAGUUCAAGAGCUUGUGUGUCUCUCGAAGACGCACCAACCCAAUGUUAUCUUUCUUUCUGAAACAAGGAAAAAUAAAGAAUAUGUUGAAUAUUUGCGUUUUCGGUUGGGUACGAAAAAUAUGUUUACUGUUUCAGCUCAAGGCAAAGGUGGUGGUCUUGCUGUGUUCUGGGAUGAU